rnacentral:tRNA from 1 species
AAGGAUUUAAGUUAAAUCAAACUAAUAGCCUUCAAAGCUGUAAAUAAACAACAGGUUUAAGCCUUA